CAAGAGCGUAUAUUAAAGUUGUUGCAGUUAAAAAGCUCGUAGUUGGAUUUCUGGUACAACGCGCCUGGCCCGCUUUUGUGAGUGCCGGUGCGCGUUUGCCAUCCUUCUAGAAAACGUUUCUACCCGGGUAACUGGGCCGGACUCGCGAUCUAGAUCUUUUACUUUUGAAAAAUUAGAGUGUUUAAAGCAGGCUUUUGCUGUGAAUACAUUAGCAUGGAAUAAUAAUCUAGGACUUCGGUUCUAUUUUGUUGGUUUCUAGGACCGCCGUAAUGAUUAAUAGGGAUAGUCGGGGCGUCAGUAUUCAGCUGUCAGAGGUGAAAUUCUUGGAUUUGCUGAAGACUAACUACUGCGAAAGCAUUUGCCAAGGAUGUUUUUCAUUGAUCAAGAACGAAAGUUAGGGGAUCGAAGACGAUCAGAU
rnacentral:rRNA from 1 species